UACGUAGGGUGCGAGCGUUGUCCGGAAUUAUUGGGCGUAAAGAGCUCGUAGGCGGUUUGUUGCGUCGGCCGUGAAAACCUGCAGCUUAACUCCGGGCCUGCAGUGGGUACGGGCAGACUAGAGUGCGGUAGGGGAGACUGGAAUUCCUGGUGUAGCGGUGAAAUGCGCAGAUAUCAGGAGGAACACCGGUGGCGAAGGCGGGUCUCUGGGCCGUAACUGACGCUGAGGAGCGAAAGCGUGGGGAGCGAACAGG
rnacentral:rRNA from 1 species